UACGGGGGGGCAAGCGUUGUUCGGCAUUACUGGGCGUAAAGGGUUCGUAGGUGGCCAACUAAGUCAUACGUGAAAUCCCUCAGCUUAACUGGGGAACUGCGUCUGAUACUGGUUGGCUUGAGUGCAGGAGAGGAACGCGGAAUUCCAGGUGUAGCGGUGAAAUGCGUAGAUAUCUGGAGGAACACCGGUGGCGAAGGCGGCAUUCUGGACUGUAACUGACACUGAGGAACGAAAGCCAGGGGAGCAAACGGG
rnacentral:rRNA from 1 species